rnacentral:tRNA from 1 species
GGGCCUGUGGUCUAGUGGUAUCCGCAAAGACACGAGAUGAUGCUUGCCUCACACGCAAGAGGUCGCAGGUUCAAUUCCUGCCGGGCCCA